rnacentral:lncRNA from 1 species
CCUUACACCUCUCCACCACCACCGGCCUCUCCUCCCUACCAUUACAAGUCACCACCGCCUCCUUCUCCUUCUCCUCCAGUGCACUACUCACCACCUAAGCAUCCCUACCACCCUAAGUCACCACCACCUCCUGUGUACGCACCACCUAAGCAUCCCUACCACCCUAAGUCACCACCACCUCCUGUGUACCCACCACCUAAGCAUCCCUACCACCCCAAGUCACCACCACCAUCACCAAAGCCUUACCACUACAAAUCCCCACCACCACCUCCUGCUCCAGUGCACUCACCACCCCCACCUAAGGAGCCAUACCACUACAAGUCCCCACCACCACCACCCAAGAAGCCCUACCACUACAAAUCUCCCCCACCACCUCCUCCUCCAGUUCACUCACCACCACCACCCAAGGAGCCUUACCACUACAAAUCUCCACCACCACCACCCAAGAAACCUUACUAUUACAAGUCUCCUCCACCACCACCAAAGAAGCCUUACCACUACAUGUCUCCUCCCCCACCGGUGUACUCACCACCUCCACCAGUGCACUCACACCCACCACCAAAAAAGCCUUACCAUUACAAAUCUCCUCCCCCGCCAGAAUAUUCACCAGCUCCACCAGUGCACUCAACCCCACCACCAAAGAAGCCCUACCAUUACAAAUCCCCACCACCACCACCACCACACAAGAAGCCUUAUUACCCUGUUCACUCACCACCUCCACCUAAGAAGCCUUACCACUACAAAUCCCCACCACCACCUUCUCCUACUCCUCCUAAAUACUCACCACCUAAGCACCCCUACCACUACAAGUCUCCACCACCACCACCAAAGAAGCCUUACCAUUACAAGUCCCCACCACCUCCUUCUCCUACUCCCCCUAAAUACUCACCACCUAAGCACCCCUACCACUACAAGUCACCACCACCACCACCCCAAGAAGCCUUACCACUACAAGUCUCCACCACCACCACCUCCUCCAGUUCCCACACCAUCU